rnacentral:rRNA from 1 species
UGGGGAAUAUUGGACAAUGGGGGCAACCCUGAUCCAGCCAUGCCGCGUGAGUGAAGAAGGCCUUCGGGUUGUAAAGCUCUUUCAGCCGGGAAGAAAUCGCAUCAGCUAAUACCUGGUGUGGAUGACGGUACCGGAAUAAGAAGCACCGGCUAACUACGUGCCAGCAGCCGCGGUAAUACGUAGGGUGCGAGCGUUAAUCGGAAUUACUGGGCGUAAAGCGUGCGCAGGCGGUUGUGUAAGACAGGCGUGAAUCCCCGGGCUCAACCUGGGAACUGCGUUUGUGACUGCACAGCUAGAGUAUGGCAGAGGGAGGUGGAAUUCCACGUGUAGCAGUGAAAUGCGUAGAGAUGUGGAGGAACACCGAUGGCGAAGGCAGCCCCCUGGGCCAAUACUGACGCUCAUGCACGAAAGCGUGGGUAGCAAACA